GGGGGCGCAAUGGUUUCGACGGGGAUUUUGAAACGUGGGAAGCGGGUAGCGGCGGAGAACCGCUUAAAACUCUCCUAACAAAUAGCUAACGAUAAUAAAUUAGCAGUAGCGGCCUAAGGCCGCUCGUCGCGGGCUCCGAGACAGCGUAGGUUCUCCGCGGCGUAAAAUUACGCUGUGAACGCGAGCAGGGCAAAGCUUUGAGCCCCGCCGUGUAAAUAUGAAGCUACCAAGGCUCCUACCCGUCUGUCGGUUCGGCGCUGAGGGAAUGUUAUAGGCAGUCUGCACCCGGAGACGCCCGCGCGGACGAAUUUUCGGACAGGAGUUCGAUUCUCCUCGCCUCCACCA
rnacentral:tmRNA from 1 species